AUUACAGGCCUGAGCCACCGUGCCCAGCCCUCUGAAUCAUAAACUAAAAGAAAUCCUUCCUCUCAAUAAAAACCAAAAACAAAACCCAAACUCUCUCUUUUCCAGUUUCUGACAUUGGAAUUGCGGCAGUAAAGCCUUACCACGCUAUGGUGAUCUUCGGACUAGUAUGUGAGUGGAAAUCUGGCUUUAAGUGUGGAAUCUGGACACAAGGUCCCAAAUGGAGGAAGAAUGGACCUAGAAUGGAGGAAGAUGAGCUGAUCUGGAAUUGGGACUGUCAUACUCUACUCCACUUAUAUUUUUGAUCUAUAAAGGUGUAACCAC
rnacentral:lncRNA from 1 species